rnacentral:tRNA from 1 species
GGGCCUGUAGCUCAGUUGGUUAGAGCACCGGUCUCAUAAACCGGUGGUCGUAGGUUCGAACCCUACCGGGCCCA